rnacentral:rRNA from 1 species
CCUACGGGAGGCAGCAGUGAGGAAUAUUGGUCAAUGGGCUUACGCCUGAACCAGCCAAGUCGCGUGAGGGAAGACUGCCCUAUGGGUUGUAAACCUCUUUUGUCAGGGAGCAACGCCGGCUACGUGUAGCCGGACUGAGAGUACCUGCAGAAAAAGCAUCGGCCAACUCCGUGCCAGCAGCGGCGGUAAUACGUAGGAUGCGAGCGUUAUCCGGAUUUAUGGGGUUUAAAGGGUGCGUAGGCGGAAUGCCAAGUCAGCGGUAAAAUGUCGGGUCUCAACCUCGCUCCGACGUUGAAACGGGCGUUCUUGAGUGGGCGAGAAGUAUGCGGAAUGCGUGGUGUAGCGGUGAAAUGCAUAGAUAUCACGCAGAACUCCGAUUGCGAAGGCAGCAUACCGGCGCCCAACUGACGCUGAAGCACGAAAGCGUGGGUAUCGAACAGGAUUAGAUACCCUAGUAGUC